UUCCCAUCCCGAACACGGAAGUUAAGCUCGCUUCUGCCCACAAUACUUGGCUGGAAACGGCCCGGAAAGAUAGGUAGCGCCAACA
rnacentral:rRNA from 1 species